UCCUACGGGAGGCAGCAGUGGGGAAUAUUGCACAAUGGGGGGAACCCUGAUGCAGCCAUGCCGCGUGUGUGAAGAAGGCCUUCGGGUUGUAAAGCACUUUCAGUUGUGAGGAAAGGUUAGUAGUUAAUACCUGCUAGCUGUGACGUUAGCAACAGAAGAAGCACCGGCUAACUCCGUGCCAGCAGCCGCGGUAAUACGGAGGGUGCGAGCGUUAAUCGGAAUUACUGGGCGUAAAGCGCACGCAGGCGGUUUGUUAAGCUAGAUGUGAAAGCCCCGAGCUCAACUUGGGAUGGUCAUUUAGAACUGGCAGACUAGAGUCUUGGAGAGGGGAGUGGAAUUUCUGGUGUAGCGGUGAAAUGCGUAGAUAUUAGAAGGAACAUCAGUGGCGAAGGCGACUCCCUGGCCAAAGACUGACGCUCAUGUGCGAAAGUGUGGGUAGCGAACAGGAUUAGAUACCCUGGUAGUCCACACCGUAAACGCUGUCUACUAGCUGUUUGUGAGUUUAACUCGUGAGUAGCGAAGCUAACGCGCUAAGUAGACCGCCUGGGGAGUACGGCCGCAAGGUUAAAACUC
rnacentral:rRNA from 1 species